rnacentral:rRNA from 1 species
GACGAACGCUGGCGGCGUGCCUAAUACAUGCAAGUCGUGCGGACCUUGUUGAAAGCUUGCUUUUAAAAGGUUAGCGGCGGCCGGGUGAGUAACACGUGGGCAACCUGCCUGUAAGACUGGGAUAACGCCGGGAAACCGGGGCUAAUACCAGAUCGUUUUUUCCUCCGCAUGGAGGAAAAAGGAAAGGCGGCUUCGGCUGCCACUUACAGAUGGGCCCGCGGCGCAUUAGCUAGUUGGCGGGGUAAUGGCCCACCAAGGCAACGAUGCGUAGCCGACCUGCGAGGGUGGUCGGCCACAUUGGGACUGAGACACGGCCCAAACUCCUACGGGAGGCAGCAGUAGGGAAUCUUCCGCAAUGGACGAAAGUCUGACGGAGCAACGCCGCGUGAGGGAAGAAGGCCUUCGGGUCGUAAAACUCUGUUGCCGGGGAAGAACAAGUGCCGUUCGAACAGGGCGGCGCCUUGACGUUACCCGGCCAGAAAGCCACGGCUAACUACGUG